rnacentral:rRNA from 1 species
UAGGCAGCAGUGGGGAAUAUUGCACAAUGGGCGAAAGCCUGAUGCAGCGACGCCGCGUGAGGGAUGACGGCCUUCGGGUUGUAAACCUCUUUCAGUAGGGAACAAGGCCAGUGUUUAGCUGGUUGAGGGUACUUGCAGAAGAAGCGCCGGCUAACUACGUGCCAGCAGCCGCGGUAAUACGUAGGGCGCAAGCGUUAUCCGGAAUUAUUGGGCGUAAAGAGCUCGUAGGCGGUUUGUCG